GGCAGGCCCCCAUUCAAACUGUUUCGAGCUCCAUUCACAAAUGAAACACUAGCUUCUUCCUCCGUCGCACGAGCUGCUUCUUCCGUCGCUGCCGCCGCCACUUGCGUCGCACAAUCUCUCUGUCAUCUCUGGCAUCGCACGAGAUCCCUCCACGGCCGCUCUCGUCGCGUCUACUCCCAUUGUUGCAGAGCUCUCUCUGACGCCGCUCUCAUUGCAUCUGCUCCCUCUGGCGCCUCUUCCAUCUAAUCUCAACUCGCUCUCUCAGUUCUUCUCGUAACCACCUCAAAUUUCAGGCACUAAAAACCAGCAACUAUGGCUCUGAACCUAUGCUUCAAAAUUGUGGAAUUUCUAUAAGCACUGGCUUUACUCAAGUGGAUGGUCGUGUUCUGCCUUCGCCAAGGAAGAGGCAAUUCGAAGAUCUACUGCACAAGAGCAGGAUGAUAUUCAAGCUUUGAGGUUUGUUACCUUAUUUAUAUAUAUAAAGGAUUCUGUUAUACUUGCUGUAUUUGUUACCUUAUUUCUGGUUUUGGAACCUUUUAAGUUGUAACUCCAUAUUUAUAAUUUUGUCCUGUGAAGUGUUAGCUCGUAGAGAAGUAGUAAUUAGCGUAUGUAUCACAUUCACAACUGUGGCGCUAACAUUGCACUCUAUCUGUUUGUAUAAAUGUCUCACCCAAUAACUGAAAUUUUUUUGCAGCAAAACCGUGUUAUUUUUAUUCUUGUAACAAUUACAGCUUUAGAUACAUGGAAACCAAGUCAUUUGAGGAACCUUAUUCCACCAACGAUGAGGUCUACUUGCAAAAUGCAAGUGAUGAAGAUGAUAAUGACAGUACCUUUUCUUCCAGUUCCACCACCAAGUUACAGUUCAGAUACAAAAAAGAAAUAUAUGAACUUGUAAAGAAGCGGUCAGAGGAGGCUGACAAUGUCAAUGAGAUAAUCAAUAACUUUUCCAUGUGUGUCAUCUCCAGGUCUAUUUAUUCAUUCACUGUUGAUUAUUGUUUUAUUGUUCAUUGCCGAUGGUCUUGCUGUUGCUGGGCAAGUUGAUACCUCUCUGUUUACAUAAUGCCAAAUCUAUGUUUGCUGGGCAGCUUGAGUAUUACAGAUGGUUUGGUUCUGGGAUUGGCUCUUGCAUUCAUUCUUGGUGUAGGACUUCCUUUUGGAGCUAAACUAUUUACAAGAGAUGUUGAUGUCCUCCACCUCAUAAAAAUUGGAAUACUUUUUGUUGCAGCCACCCAACCCAUCAAUGCUUUGGCAUUUGUAUUUUUGCAGACUAUAAUCUAUCUCCUUACGUGAGAUGGUUAUUACAACCCUGGGUGAUCUGCAUGGGCUCUAUCCGGGGAUCAUUAUUGCAAAAUAAGGUUUUGAGGAUUAAGGAUAAGUCUACUGAUCAGUUUGGAUGAGAUGGCGUCUUCACAAAAUGUCGAGUUGGAGGCAGCCAACUUUCUGCACAAACUUACUCAGGAUUCUAAAGAUGAGCCAGCUAAGCUGGCUACUAAACUCCAUGUUAUAUUACAACAUAUGAAAUCCAGCGGGAAGGAACAUUCAAUGCCAUAUCAAGUGAUAUCAAGGGCUAAAUUUAUAUCUGCAGAAGAAAGAGUUGGUGUCACUUUUGAUGAUUUUCCUGGCCAGGAAUAUAUAAAGAGGGAAUUGUGAGAGAUUGUACAAAUUUUAAAGAAUGAUGAGGAGUUUCAAGACAAAGGAAUUUAUUGUCCAAAAGGUGUGCUUCUCGAUGGACCUCCAGGAACUGGUAAAACUCUACUGGCUAAAGCCAUCGCUGGGGAAGCAGGGUUGCCUUUUUUUGCGGCAAAUGGCACAGAUUUUGUAGAGGUGAUGCCUGUUCUCCAAAGAUAUUCACCCGCAUUGAAUAGAAAGUAGCAAGUAGAACUUUGGAAUAUAAUUUCUAUUCAACUUUCAAAUUUAAAAAUAAUUUAAUUCUUAUGGAGAAUGAGGAUGUAGAUAAAAUUUAAAUUAAGCACUCAUUUGAUUUUCCUAAGAUACAGGCAUAUCAGUUUUGAUCUAAAUGUGCGUGCAGGUCUGACAUUGAUCAGAGUGUGCUGGUUGUGAUCGUACCUAGAUCAUAUGCUCUACUCUGUAAAUGAAUGAAACUUAUACCCAUGAAGUGUGGAAUAUUGAAUGCAUAAAAAUUGUCUUCAUCUUUAAAGUUAAAAAUUUUUUAUUUGUUCUUCUCCCAGAUGUUUGUAGGGGUUGCUGCAUCACGUGUUAAGGAUCUUUUUCUUCUGCCUUCGUCCGUAUUUAUUUAUAAGAGGUGGAUUUCCAUCCCCUUAGGAACUUGAUAGAUCUUCAUUUUUAUUCCCAUGACUGGUGCUUGUGAUAGGUGCUACAAAUAGAUUAGACAUUCCUGCUGUAUUGAGGAAGGGUCGUUUUGACAAGAUCAUUCGAGUUGGUUUGCCAUUUUGAAGGUGAUUUCCUCCUCCGACAAUUUAUGCAUAAUGAACCUUGCUUCAAGAAGUAUUUCAUUGUCUGUAUCCAUCUUUUUUCGUGUAUAAACUAGGUGCAUGCUAGGAAUAAAUUCUUUAAUUAUCGACGAAAAAUCCGGCGAAAAAUCUGUCUUUAAUUACCAACGAAAAAUCCGUCGGAAAAUUUGUCUCUAAUUACCGACGAAAAAUCCGACGGAAAAUCUGUCUCUAGUUACAGACGGAAAAUCCGUCGGAAAGUUUGACGCUAGGGGAAAUGGAGGGGAAAAUUUACAGAGAAAAAAUCUGUCAGUAACUGGUAAAAAUCAAUCUGUCGGUAAAUAAUUUCCGACGAGGCUUUUACAGAGGGACAAAAUCUGUCGGUAAUUUCGUCGGUAAUUAAAAAUCCGUCUGUAAUAUAGACCAAAUCUGUCUGUAUUAAGCAAUUUUCUAGUUGUGUAAAGUUAAUUCUUUUAUGAUUAUGCCAAUGUAUAGCACUAUAAAAAAAUGGUUAAGUAUGAUUUUGGUCCCUAAGAUAGGGGUUGUAAAUUUUUUUCGUCCCCAACCUUGUUUUGCUUACAAAAUUGUCCCUAAUGUUUAACUUAGUUUUAAAAUCGUCUUUCUUACCAAAAUACCCUUCUCCUUCUUCCCCAAAAUCAACCAGAAGCAGAAACAGAAAUAGAAGCAACAACAAUAAAACAAUGUAAUAAACAUUAAAAAAAUGGAUAAUAGAUCAACAAAUCUGUAUAAUGAAACAAUGUAAUUAACUAGAAGUAGAAGCAGAAGAACAGCAACAACAACAAUGAAACAAUGUAAUCAACCAGAAGCAGAAGUAGAAGCAAUCAGAAGCAACAAUAUAAAAGAAUCAUAAUAAGAAAUCAACAAUAUAAUAAAAGUAGCAGAAGCAAAAUGGAAUUAGAAUCAACAACAUAAUAAACAGAAAUAGAAGAAUAACAAUAGCGGCGAGGAGGACGAGGAGCAGCGGCAACCGGUGAGGAGGACGAGGAGCAGCGGCGACCGGCGAGGAGGAGAAGCAAAAAUGGCGAGUGGCGCGCGACGUCCACCUUCGCAGAUCUGCUGGCAUCGACGUCGAGGAGUAGCGGCGAGGACCAAACGACGAGGAGCAGCGGCGAGGAGCGAACGACGAGGAGCAGCAGUAGCAGAUUCCCUUCCCCUCCCCUUCCCCACCUUCCCUUCCCUCUCUUCUUCCCUGAAACCCCCUAGCGUGACUCCCUUCCCUAGCACUUUAACUCGUUUUCUUUGUUUUUUUUUAUUUUUUU